rnacentral:lncRNA from 10 species
UAUGGUGUGCCGGGGGCCGCGCGGGCCGGGAGUUGGGUGGGCUGGGGGACAGGCGCGCCCGCGCCGCCCGCUCCAGCUGGGCUAGUGCUGCACAUUCCGGCCAGCCCCUCCUCAAGACCCCAUUCCCAAGCCCCUUCUCAGCUCCCUCGGGCCGGCAGAGCGGCUCUGAUCAGUAAAAUGCUGUUGAAGGCCCACGGGCAUGACUGCACCCCUCACUAAUUGGUCAUUGGUUUGGGGAGGACACCACUGUCCCAGUGGAACCUUGAGCACACCUUGGAGCCCUCCUCUUCCUCUCCGGACCUGUGCCAAACUGUGAGUGGCACAGAGCAAGGACUGUAUGUGUUCUCUUCUUUGUUGCAUACUCAGUUCCUUGACCACAGUGCCAAGCACACAGCGAGCACUCCCUGUGUAUCUGCUGAGUAAAUAAACGAAUGAACAAACCCAACACAUUUCAGCCAAGUCCUGCUGAUGUUUCUCCUCCGAUCUAGCUCCUCCUUUCCAGCCUUACUUCUGCCACUCCAGAUUUCACCCCCAUCAGCUUCAGACUGGAUAAAAGGAAACCAUUUCUCUAAAGGAUCACUUGCUCUCUCAUUUCAGGCCAUCCUGCAGCCACCAGAACCUUCCACAUGAAAUGAAAGGCUCACCACUUCAUAGGCUUUAAGGAAAUUCUUGGCCAGGUGUGGUGCCUCACUCAUGUAAUCCCAGUGCUUUAAGAGGCCAAGAUGGGAGGAUUGUUUGAGCCAGCUGUUUGAGACCAGCCUGGGCAACGUCAUGAGACCCCAUCUCCACAAAAAAAAAAAAAAAGAAAAUUGGCUGGGUGCGGUGGCUCAUGUCUGUAAUCCCAGCAAUUUUGGAGGCUGAGGCGGGUGGAUCACUUGAGGUCAGGAGUUUGAGACCAGCCUGGCCAACAUGGUGAAACCCCGUCACUACUAAAAAUACAAAAAUUAGCCAGGCGUGGCGGCAGGUGCCUGUAAUCCCAGCUACUUGCGAGGCUGAGGAAGAAUUGCGUGAACCUAGGAGGUGGAGGUUGCAGUGAGCCAAGAUCAUGCUGCUGCACUCCAGCCUGGGCAACAGAGUGAGACUCCAUCUCAAAAAUAAUAAAAAUAAAUUAAA